rnacentral:rRNA from 1 species
UGAUCAGCCACACUGGAACUGAGACACGGUCCAGACUCCUACGGGAGGCAGCAGUAAGGAAUAUUGCUCAAUGGCCGAAAGGCUGAAGCAGCAACGCCGCGUGGAGGAUGAAAUACUUUUGUAUGUAAACUCCUGUAAGAAGGGAAAAAUAUUCCGAUUUAUCGGGAUUGAUUGUACCUUCAGAGUAAGCCCCGGCUAACUACGUGCCAGCAGCCGCGGUAAUACGUAGGGGGCAAGCGUUGUCCGGAUUUACUGGGUGUAAAGGGUGCUCAGGUGGACUUUUAAGUCAGAGGUGAAAUCCCAAAGCUUAACUUUGGAGCUGCCUUUGAUACUGAAAGUCUAGAGUUUGAGAGAGGGCAAUGGAAUAUCUGGUGUAGCAGUGAAAUGCGUAGAUAUCAGAUAGAACACCAAUGGCGAAGGCAGUUGCCUGGCUCAAAACUGACGCUAAAGCACGAAAGUGUGGGGAGCAAACAGGAUUAGAUACCCUGGUAGUCCACACCCUAAACGAUGAAUACUAGAUGUUGGUCUUUUUUAAAGUCAGUAUCCAAGCUAACGCAUUAAGUAUUCCACCUGGGAAGUACAAUCGCAAGGUUGAAACUCAAAGGAACUGACGGGGGCCCGCACAAGCAGUGGAGCAUGUGGUUUAAUUCGACGCAACGCGAAGAACCUUACCUAGGC